rnacentral:ncRNA from 1 species
AUAAUGAUACUCCUGCCCAGCCACAGCCCUUCUUCUAAGAAGGAUCACGCAAUGGGGGCAGCCCGGCGAGACCCGCGGGGAGGUAAAACGGCCUGUGA